rnacentral:rRNA from 2 species
UUUUUUUUGAUGUUUUUUUUUUCUGUCAGGACGAACGCUGGCGGCGUGCCUAAUACAUGCAAGUCGAGCGGACAGAAGGGAGCUUGCUCCCGGAUGUUAGCGGCGGACGGGUGAGUAACACGUGGGUAACCUGCCUGUAAGACUGGGAUAACUCCGGGAAACCGGAGCUAAUACCGGAUAGUUCCUUGAACCGCAUGGUUCAAGGAUGAAAGACGGUUUCGGCUGUCACUUACAGAUGGACCCGCGGCGCAUUAGCUAGUUGGUGAGGUAACGGCUCACCAAGGCGACGAUGCGUAGCCGACCUGAGAGGGUGAUCGGCCACACUGGGACUGAGACACGGCCCAGACUCCUACGGGAGGCAGCAGUAGGGAAUCUUCCGCAAUGGACGAAAGUCUGACGGAGCAACGCCGCGUGAGUGAUGAAGGUUUUCGGAUCGUAAAGCUCUGUUGUUAGGGAAGAACAAGUGCAAGAGUAACUGCUUGCACCUUGACGGUACCUAACCAGAAAGCCACGGCUAACUACGUGCCAGCAGCCGCGGUAAUACGUAGGUGGCAAGCGUUGUCCGGAAUUAUUGGGCGUAAAGGGCUCGCAGGCGGUUUCUUAAGUCUGAUGUGAAAGCCCCCGGCUCAACCGGGGAGGGUCAUUGGAAACUGGGAAACUUGAGUGCAGAAGAGGAGAGUGGAAUUCCACGUGUAGCGGUGAAAUGCGUAGAGAUGUGGAGGAACACCAGUGGCGAAGGCGACUCUCUGGUCUGUAACUGACGCUGAGAGCGAAAAGACGGG